UACGAAGGGGACUAGCGUUGUUCGGAUUUACUGGGCGUAAAGCGCACGUAGGCGGAUUGGAAAGUUGGGGGUGAAAUCCCGGGGCUCAACCCCGGAACUGCCUUCAAAACUCCCAGUCUGGAGGUCGAGAGAGGUGAGUGGAAUUCCGAGUGUAGAGGUGAAAUUCGUAGAUAUUCGGAGGAACACCAGUGGCGAAGGCGGCUCACUGGCUCGAUACUGACGCUGAGGUGCGAAAGCGUGGGGAGCAAACAGG
rnacentral:rRNA from 1 species